rnacentral:rRNA from 1 species
GUGUCAGCAGCCGCGGUAAUACGUAGGCAGCAAGCGUUGUUCGGAGUUACUGGGCGUAAAGAGUGCGUAGGCGGUUCUCUAAGUUCGUUGUGAAAUCUCCCGGCUCAACUGGGAGGGUGCGGCGAAGACUGGGGAGCUGGAGUGUGGGAAAGGCAAGCGGAAUUCCUGGUGUAGCGGUGAAAUGCGUAGAUAUCAGGAGGAACACCGGCGGUGUAGACGGCUUGCUAGACCAUGACUGACGCUGAGGCACGAAAGCGUGGGGAGCAAACAGGAUUAGAUACCCUGGUAGUCCACGCCCUAAACGAUGCAUACUUGGUGUGGGCAGUUCAUUCUGUCCGUGCCGGAGCUAACGCGUUAAGUAUGCCGCCUGGGGAGUACGGUCGCAAGGCUGAA